ensembl:processed_transcript
GUUGGCGGAGAGCUUCGUUGCCACAGACAGACCUAGAGUGGGUUUUCGCCUUUUUGUGUGUGUGAGGUUCUGCCCUGUUAGUAAACACAUUCAUCAUAGUUAAACACAUAGACUUAAGUGUAAUGUUUGAGGCUUUUUGAAUACAAGUUCUCGGCCCAAGACAAAAACCUAAAACAUGGCUUCUUCCCCCAGCCUAAUGUGUGGUCUCUACUGCUCACACGGGAUAUUCUAACGUCUUCAUUCUCUUCCUUUCCUUCCUUCCUUUCUUUUCUUACUGAAUAGAGUUCAGUGUGAAGCUGAAGGCUUGUUAAUUGGCUGUUUUGUUUUUCGUUUUUUUUCUAAACAGCUCCACCCCUCAGGAAUUGUGGACCGUUUUCCACUGGGCUUAGUGUAUUCUAGAUAAGAGUGACCCAACUCUCUGAUCCCUUUUUAAGGUAGAUAUUAUUUGAAACUUCAUCGACUGAAGUCUGUCUGCCAAAAAAAAAUCCUGUAUCUUUAUUAUUUUUCUUGGGGUGGGGGUGGGGGGUAAGUUUCCUAUAUAAUAAACCCCUUUAAAGUUACAAUACAGUAGCAGUCUCAACCUGUUUCAACUGUCUCCUCAGUCUAGUUGCAAGAGACCACCCCCACCCCGCCCCCUUAGGAUGGAUACAUUCGCUGCCCUUCCCAUUUGCAAUCUUGUUUCUAGUUCCCUUUUCCUCAUUUCCCUGCUCCCUUUCCAGCCCCAACUAAGCUUCCUGCAAGAUCUUGUAGUCCAGUGUUCAGAUACUGAAGAUAAACUUCUGUAUGUUAUAGCUGAAUUUGCAUCCACAGGUGAACCUGACAUACUGUCAGGAUGACUUUCUUGCCCUUACUCAUUCUGAAGACUUCCAGCCUUGAUUUUUAAAAAGAUUUUUUUUUCAAGUAUAAACAAAUAGUAUGACAACAGUACAUGGCUAGUCUUAAGUCCCCAUACCGAGUGGUCUAUGAGACACCUGUCAGUGUCUGUGCUCAGCAGUUACUCUAGUUGAACUACAUUUCAGAUGACGAUGAACCACUGAUAGAACUGUGCCCAAAGUGAAACCUGACUAUGCCUGUGAACCUAGUGUCUGGGAGGUGGUGAAGGAAGAUAAGAAAUUCAAGAUCAUCCUCUUCUAAGUAAUGUGUGGUUUGUCAGCCGAGUCUAUAGUAAGACCUCCUCUCAAAAUAAAAAUAAAAAAUAAAAAU